GCUGCUGCUGCACCGGGGCGGGGCCAAGCGGGAGGCGGGCAAACCCACGCCGCCUAUUUGCCAGGAUGGUUCAGUUUGAAUCCUUUGCCUCGGAAUGGGCUGAGGGAGAAAGAGAAAGAGAAGCGUAAGUCGUCGCUGCUCCCCGACAGCAUUUUAAGACGCUUCACACCUCAGGAAAGAGCGACAUCGCUGCCAUAUUCCUCGGAAUAGGGCUGCCAACCUCCAGAAAGCUGAAGGCAGUCUGGAAAAAGGAUCACUGCUUGUGGCAGCUACUCAUUCCAGCAAACAGGCUUUUGUGCUGAUUCAGAAACCUGCAGCACUGGAUUAACAGACAAAACAAUGGAACAAAAAAAACUGUGUGUACGACACUGUGAGAAGCAAAUCAUCUCUCUUAGCACCACGUACCUCAAGUCCAAGUGCAAUUGUCUCUCUUAGGCUGUUUCCUCCCUUAGACUGGAGAUGAAAUGUCAUUGAACUGUGGUGCUGGCAUUGAACUGUGUGCAAAAUCAAGUGACAUACCUACAUAUGAGAUUGCAAAAUGCAUGAAAAUCUAUGAAACUUACAUGGGUGGCAUAAAACAGAUUGCUGUUUACUUUAUCUAAUUACACAGAAACGAAGAAAUAUUAAAGAUUCAGGGAAACCAA